UUAGGAAUAUUGGGCAAUGGAGGGAACUCUGACCCAGCAACGCCGCGUGAAGGAAGAAGGUUUUCGGAUUGUAAACUUCUGAUCUGUGGGAAGAAGAAAGUGACGGUACCACAGGAGAAAGCCACGGCUAACUACGUGCCAGCAGCCGCGGUAAUACGUAGGUGGCGAGCGUUGUCCGGAAUAACUGGGCGUAAAGGGAGCGUAGGUGGCUCUGUAAGUUAGAUGUGAAAGCCCAGGGCUCAACUCUGGAAUUGCAUUUAAAACUGUGGGGCUAGAGUGCAGGAGGGGUAAACGGAAUUUCUAGUGUAGCGGUGAAAUGCGUAGAUAUUAGGAAGAACACCGGAGGCGAAGGCGGUUUACUGGACUGCAACUGACACUGAGGCUCGAAAGCGUGGGAAGCAAACAGG
rnacentral:rRNA from 1 species